rnacentral:lncRNA from 1 species
UUCUCAAUAUAUGGAUUACAUUCUAAAAACUUCAUAUUCUAUGUCCAUUAUCCAGGGUUCAUGAUAAAUAAAUUUGGAAAGAUUCAGCAUUAGAAGAAAACCCACCAGGUGGAAGAAUAUUUUCAAGCCUCAAACAACUCAUGAAAUCUCUCUACUAAGCUGUAGAAGGCUCUGAUCUAUACAGAUGGAGGAGUCCCAACAUGAAAAUAUUUCAGUGAUUUCUGUGAUAUUAUGAAAUAACAACUUGCACCUUGUUUCUUCUGGGAGGUGACAGGUGAGCUGUACCCUUCCCUCACUGAGUGUUAAAGCAAGCCCUGGCUGAAAAUGGAAUGAAGCUUGCAUUACAAAACAAGUUUCCAACAUUCUUGGCCGCCUCUUAAUCUGAAGUACCCUUACAAAGGGAAAGCUACCUUGCCUGGGGCAAGAGAAAUCCUGCUUCACUGAGUUGAAUAUUGGGAUCACGUAAGGAAACUACUGAGGUGAUUCAUCAGAGCCUGAUCUUUCUGUUUCCCUUAAACCUCCU